rnacentral:rRNA from 1 species
GACGAACGCUGGCGGCGUGCUUAACACAUGCCAGUCGAACGGUGAAGCGCCUUCCUUUUUGGUGGGUGUGGAUGAGUGGCGAACGGGUGAGUAACACGUGAGUAACCUGCCCCCUUCUUCUGGAUAACCGCAUGAAAGUGUGGCUAAUACGGGUUAUUCUGGGUCUGUCGCAUGAUGGGUCUGGGAAAGAUAUUGUUUCGGUGGGGGAUGGGCUCGCGGCCUAUCAGCUUGUUGGUGGGGUGAUGGCCUACCAAGGCGGUGACGGGUAGCCGGCCUGAGAGGGUGGACGGUCACACUGGGACUGAGACACGGCCCAGACUCCUACGGGAGGCAGCAGUGGGGAAUAUUGCACAAUGGGCGCAAGCCUGAUGCAGCGACGCCGCGUGAGGGAUGGAGGCCUUCGGGUUGUGAACCUCUUUCGCCAGUGAAGCAGGCCUGCCUCGUUUGUGGGUGGGUUGACGGUAGCUGGAUAAGAAGCGCCGGCUAACUACGUG